UGAGAUGCAAGCAGUAUUACUUCUGAGUUCAUUGCCUGAUAGUUGGAAGACUUUUGUGGUAUCACUUAGUAACUCCGCUCCGAACGGUGUGUUGGAACUUACUCUAGUUAAAGAUAGUUUGUUUAAUAAAGAAAUAAGAAGAAAAGACUUGGGUAGAAAUGAUGCACAGGCUCUUAUUACAGAGAACAGAGGUAGGAGUAAAAACAGAGAUCCUAAGGAACGUGGUAAUUUCAGAAGUCAGUCGAAGACAAGAGGAAAGGUCAAAUGCUUUUAUUGUGACAAAGAGGGUUAUAUAAAGAAACAUUACAUGGCUUGGAAAAUUAAAUUGAAAGAGGAGAAAAAUCAGAAGAAGACUGAUCAGAAUACAGCAGCUAGCGCUUCAAAAGAAGAAGAAGAAGCAGUGGCAGCAGUAUUUUUCGCUAAAGAUGAGCAGUGUUGUCAUGUUGCAGAUUCAUUUGUUGAAUGGGUUAUUGACUCAGUGGUUUCUUACCAUGUUACUCCAAAACGGGAGUUCUUCACUUUAUACAAAUCAGGUAACUUUGGCAAAGUGAAGAUGGGUAAUAACAGUUUUGCUAGUAUUGCGGGAAUUGGUGACAUCUGUCUUCAAACAGAUAUUGGAAGUAGCUUGACAUUGAAGAAUGUGCGACAUGUUCCUGACAUGCGCUUGAAUUUGCUAUCUACACAUGCAUUUGAUGAAGCACGGUAUGACAGUUAUUUUGGCAAUGGAAGAUGGAAACUAACAAAAGGGUCAAUGAUAUUUGUUAGAGGAAAGGUUUGUUACACACUUUACAAGAUACAAAGUAAAGGUGUGUAGUGAAGCGGUAAAUGCAACUGAAAGUGAUUCUUCACUAGACUUGUAGCAUAAGCAGUUAGCUCACAUGAGCGAGAAAGGAUUACAUAUUUUGGCAAAGAAGUCUCUCAUUCCUUUUACCAAAA
rnacentral:lncRNA from 1 species